CUGGACCAACCGGAAGACCUAUAGGAUAUUGGGUAAUUUUGCUGCUUUUGGUUAAGUUACGUGUUUAGACUUAAAGUCAUACUAAUCUUAAAAUUAGAAGCAAUCUCUCAGUCAUAAAAUACGUAACAAUUAGACGUCCUGUAAGGUACGAUGACGAUAACGCGUCAUGCCCUAAGGAUACCAAAACCAGCAUAAAAGCGACCAUUCGUUGGGAGAGAGGAAAAAGAUAACGAUGGACAAGUAAUUAACGAACUCGGGCUUGCAGUAAAACUUUGAUUUUUAUGUGACUUAUCAGUCAUGACUUGGAACUGUUCUUUGUAUUUGUAAAUAUACAAUUGCAAUAUAUGUAUUCGGUACCAGGAGUAUGUCUUCUUCAUCAGAUCAGAAACAACAGCAAUACAGAAAGUGUAGCAAAAAUAUUAAAUGUUCCCUAAAAAUGGUAUCCCCGACAGACGAACCAGCGCCUUUCUGAGAUGGAGUCUGAAAAGCAACCGUUAGAACUAAAGGUGACCCCAAAGACAUCAACUCCACAAGCAAGCCGAGGAUAAAAAGAUCAAGGAAAAUGAAAAACAACCACCAAACCAAGAUUCAGACAGUAUGAAAAAUCAAGGAAUUACAAGCGAAAUAUCAAAGAUUCUGACAAAAAGAAAAAGACUGUUAGAUUUAAAAGGUGUAUGAGAUUCACAUUAUAUGGACUGUUAUAAAAAUAUGUGUGUGAAACAUUCACACUAUAUGAACUGUUUUACACCAGAAAAAAACCGUAAAAUCAAAAACUAGUCGGAACUCUUGACUACAAAAAACAAAUGAGAAAGAUAUGAAACGAAAGAACUUCAUAAAGAAACGCCCGCGAACCAACUUCAAGAAACCGCGCGAUUGUAGCAUUUUAUAUUGUACUAUAAAUAUUUCAAUUUCGUGUACAAAAUGGACAGACAUUCUUCUUCUUCUUCACAGGUAUUUCACGUUUCCUUCUUUCUAAUCUUUAAGCGUUCUAUAUUUGGUAUUAAACCCAACGAGGUUUACUCAAAAAUAUUUAAUUUAUUCGAUUUUGGCAGAUAUUAGCAUUCGUUUUCUUUAAAUAUACUUUACGUUGACUUUAACAUUUUUUUCAAAAUAUGAUUUCAUAUACGAUCGUAUUUCGAAUCAGCGCUUCAGGAUGUAUUUGCAUAAACGCAAGUGAAAUCCUCAUUUUUUAUUUUUAAACGCCCGAAGAGGCUCAUCACAAUUAUAGCCGGAAAGGCUCAUAAACGCAACACGCGUAUUUUUUUUAUUUUUUUCAGCGCUUCAAAAUUUAUUAAUGUGAAACGAAGUGUAUUAAAGCUAAGCAUUGGUAGUAAUCUGUCACCUAAAUUAUAAAAUAAACCAACGCCAAAUCUUUUUCUUUCCAUACACUGUAUAAACACACACACAUUCUGUCUCAUAAUCCUAAUUUCAACUUUCUUAUGUUUUUAUGAAUUUUGUUGCAUUUUGUGUAUAUAUUUUCACUGCACGCCCAAGCUUGGCCACUGCUCCGCAGCUAAAGUAGGUGCAUAGUAUAGGAUAUUGGGUAAUUUUGCUGCUUUUGGUUAAGUUACGUGUUUAGACUUAAAGUCAUACUAAUCUUAAAAUUAGAAGCAAUCUCUCAGUCAUAAAAUACGUAACAAUUAGACGUCCUGUAAGGUACGAUGACGAUAACGCGUCAUGCCCUAAGGAUACCAAAACCAGCAUAAAAGCGACCAUUCGUUGGGAGAGAGGAAAAAGAUAACGAUGGACAAGUAAUUAACGAACUCGGGCUUGCAGUGAACUUUGAUUUUUAUGUGACUUAUCAGUCAUGACUUGGAACUGUUCUUUGUAUUUGUAAAUAUACAAUUGCAAUAUAUGUAUUCGGUACCAGGAGUAUGUCUUCUUCAUCAGAUCAGAAACAACAGCAAUACAGAAAGUGUAGCAAAAAUAUUAAAUGUUCCCUAAAGACCUACCGGAGGACCCACCGUCUCUGCGAACCCUGAUCCACUAGUGGUAUACGUCGUGUGACAAUAGAGGAAACGUCUUCUUAUUCAAAACAAUAAAUUAGCCUGAAAUAUACAAAUAAGGCUGCUGGGGUGAGCUCUUCCAUAACUGAGUCAGAGGGAAUUCGUGUGCUGGUUUAAACUUUAGUUAACCGAUAAGAAGUUUUAAGCGGGCCAUCAUCACUCUGCGAUCUCGGAUUCGACAAUUGGUUACAUUUUCAACGUAAAGAUUGACUAUGGCAAUCCAUUUUGGACUUCCACCCGGCGUUACGAAGACUAUGACGAUUAUAUGACCUGUAUGCUGCAAUUACAGCGUCAUGCCCAAGUUUAUGACCACUUGUUAGGCGAGGGAACAGCUAGAAAUAGGAAACAAUCAACGACUCGGCAUGCGUGCAGAGUGCCUCGGGAUUUUGCCUGGCUUUUCAGAGAUGUUCUGGAACUGUUCAUUGUAUUCGUAAAUAUAUACAAUUGCAAUACAUGUUAUUCGAAACUAUGAACAUGUCCUUGUCGGAUCAGACGAACACUGGUUUGUUUAGCUAGCCAACAACCAGAAAUUAAUUACUUUACUGAAUCCUACAUUGGUGACCCGGCAAACGAACUGCGCCUUGCGAAAAAGAGUCAGAACAUCAACCGCUGGAAAGGUGACCCCGAGAAUAUCAACUGAACAAGCCGAGGGUAAGAUGAAAAAAAAAUAAUUCGAUACCAAUCAAAAUUCAGACCGUGCGAUUAACCAAGGAAUAAGAGCAAAAAACAGGGCGUAAGCAACUAUCACAGAAAAAGUUAUAUUAAAAAAUGUGUGUAAAACGUUCACACGUCUGGACUGGUAUAUUUAAAGAAAUGUGUGCAACGCAAUCGCACUAUAACGAAUGUUUUUAUACCCGAGAAAAAACCGUUAUAAUUAAAAACUAGUCAGACAGAAUGAAAUGAAAGUAUGAAACGCAAAGAACUUAUUCAGUACAGUAUACUAUUGUAUUUUAUUAUUUUCAAUUUCGUGUACAAAGUGGACAGACAUUCUUCUUCUUCGUAGGUAUUUCAUAUUUUCUUCUUUCUAAUCAUAACGGUCAAAACAAUCUUACAAAAGCUUUGAUGUAUUUUCAUAAAAGCAUGUAAAAUCUUCAUUUUUUUUAACACCCAAAUAGCUUUAUCAUCUUUCACAGCAGCCAGCAAGACAACGAGUGAUUUUUUUUUCAGCGCUUCAAAAUUUAUUGAUGUAAAUGAGGUUUAUUAGAGCGAAGCAUUUGUAGUUAUGUGUCAGCUGAAUUCAAAAUUACCUAACGCCAAUUCUUUUCUUAUUCAAAAACAGCAUAACACACACACACACACACACACACACAUUCUUUCUCAUAAUCAUAAUUUCAGCUUUAUGUUUUUAUAAAUUUUGUUACAUUUCGUGUAUUUCUUUUUUCACUGCACGCACAAGCUUGGCCACUGUUCCGCAUUAGUAGCAGAGGCAUUAUAUAGGAUAUUGGGUAAUUUAUCUGCCUUUGGUGAGUAACUCAAAGUUAUCCUAAUCUUACGCGGACAAUAAAAUUAGAAGCACGUACAGAGUAAUAAAAGUGGCAAUUAGACGACCUGUAGGCUGCAAUGACAUGCCAUCGGGAUACCGAAACAAGGUAGACCACUCGUUAGGCGAGAAAAGGGAUGAUUUUGAAAUGGGUAGCUGGAACAAUUAACAACUCGGCAUGCGUGAACUGUAAUUUCGGAUGUUGUCUGGCUUAUCAGCCAUGCUUUGGAACUGUUCAUCUGUAUACGUAAAUAUAUACAAUUCUAUAGUAUGUUUUGUAAAUUAUGAAUAUGUCUUUGUCAGAAUCAAGUUUAGCCAACAACUAGAAAAAACUUUAUUAAACCCUACACUGCUACACCUGUAGGGAAUAUUAGAGAGUGAACAAAAUUUCAACAGCAAGGAAACAAAUGAAGCUGUAGAUCCCAACUAGUCCGAAAAAUUCUUCUAAUUCGAAAAAAAUCACUUAUAUAACGCGACGCUGUAAAUAAUCACACGUUCGUACCAAUUAGGCCAAAAAAUUGUUCCUUUAGCAGAAUUAUAACUAAUGUAACACGUCGCCUCAAUUGGUUUACGUUGAUCAUUAUCAUAGAGUUAUAAUCAGUAACGACAAUAAACGAUAGAUAUAUACAAGACGUUGUUGAUAUCAAUAUUUUAUCCUACACUGGUGAUUCGACAAACGACAGCACCUUCUGAAAAGAGGAGACAGAUUUGCGCAACGGAGAACUGUAACAAAGUCAACGGAGCAACGAAGUUGCUGACAGACAUAAGUGGCAAAUAGCUGACAGACAGUAAGUGGCAAAUAAAAUACCAAGGCGACAAUACAAUAAUUUAACUUGAAGGACUUUUAGACAACGGUAUACGGAAACAUGUGGAUGGAAGAACUCUUUUGAACAAAAAUGAGAAAAAUCGAUGACGAAUUAACCAAAUGAUGACAUAACAAAGAACGAAAUCUCAAUGCAACAAGGCAUUAUAACACGCGCUUUAACGAAAUAUUAACGCGACAAGAGACGGAACCAACGAACAUUCGAGUGCAUGUUAUAUUUUUCACUGUCAUAAUUCCGAUUUAUUUUAUCUAUUGUAGAUUUAUCUUGUUGGGACAUGCUUCCCUGUUCUUUUGAUCUCAAGGUAAAAAUCCCAUUUCUUAUGCUAUGGCGUUUAAUUACUUGACAUUCGUGUCAACCAUCCUAUAUAAACGGUAAAAUAACUCUUUAAUAUUAUUCACUGGUUUUAUCGUGUAACUAUAUUCUUCCCUGUGCCGCCGUAAUACAACAUCGAAAAGGUCGGUGACUUUGUUAUUUUUUUCGUUGUCUGCAGGGCCAAGCUCUGCUCUAACCGAGUCAGAGGGAAUUCGUGUGCUGGGUUAAACUCCUAGUUAACCGAGAGUUUUUGCCUAUAACUAAGCUCUAUUUAGGAUUGCUUUUAAAAUAACAAGAAUUCUACAAAUUUGGUGGCGCCAACAAUUGAAUACAGCGUUUUUGAGAAGACCAGAUCAGCGGAGGAACACAGAUCAACUCAGAAUCUCAAAAAAAAAAAAACAGAAGAACUCAAGAUAGUUAUCGCCUUUUUUUACGAUUAUCAACGAAAACUAAAACUCUACAACAUCGACAAGAGAAUCCGGUUCUACGAUUAUUGACACGAAGAAGACGAAAUCGCCUAAGGACAUUUCUACGGACAUUCUUUAUUUCACUGAAUUUACUGCAUUUUAAUAAUUACUAUGUACUGCAAUUUUCUUUCCUAUUUCUUCUAUAUUUCCCAUGAGGAUUAGUGUCUUCCCAUUUGAUUUAUUUAAAAAGUCCAAAUCUUGUUUAGCUCCAACUGAUAAGAGUAGUAAUUUACCUAAGCCAGAAGACGUAUUAAAACCACCUUUAAUAAUUAAAGCUCAGUUGCCCGAUAAUCAUAAUAUGCAAUCAACUAAACAAUCGUCUAAAUCGUCGCCUAGCCAAAAUUAUGAUUUAUUCGUGUGGUAGUAUUUAUUCCGCGUGUUUUUGAUGCUUUUGUUUUCUUGUUUUUGUAAUUUGUUUUGAUUAUUAUUGCUGUGUUACAUAAUGAUUUAACGCCGAACGCGAGGAUGAGAAGAGAUCGUCUGCCACGUUUUGGGCGGUUACAGACAGUCGAGUUUUGUGUUUCAUGUGAGCAGUUCAUGUUGAACUCAUUUCACUUUGGGUUGAUUUAUUGCUGUUUUUAAAAAAAGAAAUAAAGCCGCAGUCAAACCUCGGAUCUUCUGUUUUUAUCAUGGCAGAUUUUUUGUAAAGUAUAGGAAGAAAAAGCUACGACAAAAUUGGCGGUCACGCCAGGAUCCAUAAUUUGUGCGAAUUAUUGAUAUAACGAAACGAAAAGGAACUUUUUAUUGGCACCUCCACGAGGGGGGUGAUUUUGACGAAUUUAUCAGAAGAUUUCAGUAUUCGAUGUGAUAGGACUAAAACAAAUUCUUUAUUGGCGAUUCGUAAUUUAACUUCUGGACAGUGUCUCAUCAUGGCGUCCACCUCUUUUACUGCAGGAGGCCUCUAUAUUCCGAAAGAGGAACAUGUGAAUGAUGAUGAAUUAUAUUAUCAGCGAGGUUGGUGAAUAUGUUCAUCUUAAUGGUCGUAUGGGACGUUGUGGAAAUUCGAAAAUGUAUCAAAUUGGUCCGGUCGUUCGUGAAGGUUCUCGCGCAUGCACAGCAGGAAGUUCCUGACUGCAUGGGUAAUGGCAUACUACAUGAUAUUAAUGGUCGUUUGAAUACUCCCGUUGUAUUGCUAUGUCAAAGGUAGCAAAUUUAUCGUCCGGUUGUUCGUGAACUUUCUCGCGCAUGCACAGCAAGAAGUUCUUGACUACAUGGUCAGUAGCAUAUGAUGAAGGUGCUAUGGAUACCAGUUUAGAUCCAAAGGAUGGAAAGUUGGGUACUCGGGACAAAAGAAGAACGGGCGGUGUUGACUAUAGUCGUGCCAAUGGAGACACUCUACUAGAUUACGUCGAUAGCAGAGUAGCUUCUACGUCAAACCUCAAUAGAGAGGGGGUGGCUUCGAUGAUGAUGACAAUUGGGAGUAAAACCUGCAUCUAUUGAUAUGCAUAUUCCGAUGUAAAUAGAUUUGAGCGCUGUCGAAAUUCAGACAUAUCGUUCUAUGUUAUCAACGGGGGCAUGUCUCAGCCCUUUAAUUACGUUAUGGUCGCUUCAUAACUGAAAUGAGCUGAACUAUAUUCUUGUUGUGAAUAAGUGUAUAAUUUGAGUUGUGUUAAGGUGUUUUAACCAAGUUCUCGUGACCUAAAAUGACUGCGAUUUAUUUUAACUGUUUUUAUACGACUUGGUAGUUUUGUUGUUCACGAGUGUUCAGAUUUCAAAUUCAUAAGUAGUUUAAUUCUAGUGUAUAUAUAUGUAAAGCACUAGUUUCUUAUUUCGUUUUGAAGAGAAUUUUUGUGUUUGGUUCACUCCUGUCUGUAGUUUGUACCCCUGUCUGUACAUUUUUUUGUGUUUAUCAAGCAUGGUAGGGAGGGCAUAUGUGUAUAGAACUAAUUUUUUUAUUUCGUUUGGAGUCUGAUCUUUGUGUGACUUUAGUAUUUGAGUCUUAGUAUUUUUUGAUAUUUUGUGUGUACAGCAUGACCAGGAGGUCAUGAUAUUUUAAGGGAGGAACUGUGUGAUAGUAAUUAUUCCGCGUGCUUUUGAUGCUUUUGUUUUCAUGUUUUUGUAAUUUGUUUUAAUUAUCAUUGCUGUGUUACAUAAUGAUUUAACGCCGAACGCGAGGAUGAGAAGGGAUCGUCUGCCACGUUCUGGGCGGUGACAGACAGUCGAGGUUUGUGUUUCGUGUGAGCUGUUCAUGUUGAACUCAUUUCACUUUAAGUUGAUUUAUCGCUGUUUUUAAAAAAGUAAUAAAGCCGCAGUCGAGCCUCGGA